rnacentral:lncRNA from 1 species
GCUUUGCUGUGAGCCUCUGGCCUGGUCAGGGCCAGGGASGCGGAGGGACGGCCGCUGUCCCCUGCCCCGGGGGACGGACACCUCCACGGCGACGCAGCCUUAGCUUUUCCCUUAGUGCUACCGUACGCUGCUAUGGAUCGCAAUGGCUUCUAUUUUCCAGAAUGUUUCUUUUUCAAACAAAGUAAUUACCAAUUAAUUGGCGAGGAGCUUUACUUCUAAUCCCCGAGCUCACAGGAGGGAAAUCUGGCCGUUUUUGUGGGUGCACGCGUGUGCGGCGGUGGCGAGCGCUUCAGGACUGCACCAUCUGGCUGUUUGAAAAUCAUUAGCAGGCGCCCAGUUUGGGAGCAGUUGUCCCGGAACGCGGCGGAUGAGGCAGAGGUUAGAGACACGGGCGACCGAUGGCAUAUGCAGAAGCCAAGCCAGCUGCCUUGCUCCAAGCCUCUUGACUGCCCCGGGAAGGGGAAAACCUCCGCCUGGUUUCCGAUCAGCAGCAGGAUCCUUGGCAGAGGGCACCGGCUUCGCCUCUGUCCGCGAUGCUGACAGAGCGGAGCCUCCUGAGCCUGGUAUUUGGGGAAAAAAAUACCCA